UUUCAUCUAUCUGAAGUCAGACACUUGUUGAUCUGCUACUCUCAGGUUGUUUCAGCAUGGACGCUAAUUUCAGGGUUCUGUGGGAUAAAGAAAACAAAAUCAUUUUGCUUCCCUUUUUUCAGGGCUCUCGCCUAUUCUUCAGAAGCCGUUAAGGUGCCUUCCCUGUGAUUUAGAGAAUUGACCACAAGAGAAGACUCCCUUUCAAACUCUUCAUUCUCUGGUUCAGAGGUUUGAUGUAAUGGUUGUCUCAUCGUACAUGGUCAGCCACAGGAUAUACUUCAUCCAUUUCAGAGCUGUACUCCUGAGUUCCAUGCUAUAAUCAGAAAUAUGUGGCACAUUUUGAACAAAGGAAAUAUAUACCCAACAAAGUGUUAAAAUGGAGCUGCCAACCAGACAAACCCUAGAAAUAUGUAGCCACUUACAGGCAGAACACAACUACAUGUGUUCCCAAUGUGGAAGGCAUUCCGGAAGUGUAUGCAUCCACAUUUCUACAUGAGGCAUCGCCUAUGCAGGCAAUCAAAGGAUGUUGAUGGAUAAGUGUUUCAGGCAGAAUAAUGGCCCUCAAAGAUGUUGACACCAGAAUCUUCAGAACCUUUGCAUAUGUUACCUAACAUGACAAAAGGGACUUUGCUGAUGUGAUUAAGGUUAAGAACUUUGAGAAGGGAAGAUUAUCCUGGAUUAUACAGGUCGACGUUUAUUUCUUUCUGAACUUUCCUGGAGGAUCAUCGGCCAUACUCCAGCAGAAGGGUGGAUUUGAAAAAAUAACGUUUCCACGGCAACAGUGGCAGCAAUUCAAAGGAAGACGUUGGAGAAUUCACAUGCUAUUUUAGCUGGCUCUGUGAUUGCAAUCACACAAAUCAUUACAUUCCAGCGAGAUCCCAUCAACAGAAGGUUUUUCCAUUUCAGUCUGUCAAGCAAGUAUGUUUUCUUAUUGACUCAAAGUGAUUGCAUCUAAAAUAUGAUAACAAGACAGGAUUCUCACUGCCGUAUCUCCCGAUGCCAAUCUCCAAGUGUUCAAAUUCUAUCUUCAGCAUAGUGAGCCCAAACAAAACCAAUUCCUUUCAUGCCCUCUACUGGAUAUUUGAAGUUAAACGUCAAUAACACUGCAAAGUAACCAAAAUAAUGAUACACAUA
rnacentral:lncRNA from 1 species